GGUGAGGUGUCCGAGUGGCCUAAGGAUCCGGUCUUGAAAACCGGUGCACGUCCUGCGUGCCGUGGGUUCGAAUCCCACCCUCACCG
rnacentral:tRNA from 1 species